GAGGAAUAUUGGUCAAUGGGCGCAAGCCUGAACCAGCCAUCCCGCGUGAAGGAAGAAGGCCCUAUGGGUUGUAAACUUCUUUUCCAGGGGGUGAAUAAUUCCGAUGUAUCGGGAGAUGACGGUACCCUGGGAAUAAGCAUCGGCUAACUCCGUGCCAGCAGCCGCGGUAAUACGGAGGAUGCGAGCGUUAUCCGGAUUUAUUGGGUUUAAAGGGUGCGUAGGCGGAACAAUAAGUCAGUGGUGAAAGACUGCAGCUUAACUGUAGACUUGCCGUUGAUACUGUUGAUCUUGAGUAUGGUCAAGGCAGGCGGAAUGUGUAAUGUAGCGGUGAAAUGCUUAGAUAUUACACAGAACACCGAUUGCGAAGGCAGCUUGCUGGGCCAUUACUGACGCUGAUGCACGAAAGCGUGGGGAUCGAAC
rnacentral:rRNA from 1 species